AUUUUUUAAAAGUGAUUCUUAGGGCACAAAAUAUUUACACUCACACUCACACUUUUCAGAGAUGGAGCUCAGAAACUCCAAUCCUCCAUCUCUAAAACUCCAUCUCGAAGCUGGUAAUACUCGAAGCUUGCAAGCAAGUUUCCAUGUCGAAGCUCCGAAGCAAGUCCCAAUCAAGAAAGGAAUUGGUUGAGCUUCAAAGCUGGAAGCUCAAAAUGCAACAUAAUUUACUGAUGUCCUUCAUCGGUAAGUGUCUACAGACGACAUUUGCAGCAGCUUCAGUUUACUAUCUACUGUGGAUGAAAAUUUUAUACUCAAUCUAUAGGUGUACAUUUAGGAUUUUUGUCAAGAGUCGUGGUGACAUGCUGAGAAUUAUUUUGUGUUGCAUCUGUUGGAAUGUUUAUGAACUCAAUCUAUAUGAACAACAAAUAUUUAUUAUGUGUUGCUUCUGUUAGAAUUAACUGAUCUUUCUUUACUAUAGUAAGAAACUAUGAAACAGAUUGGAGUGAAUUUCAUUUAAUAUUCAGGGUUCUAGCACGUAGCCUUUGCUAUUGA